rnacentral:lncRNA from 1 species
GCGCAAGUAAGCAGAAGAAGCUGGUGCCCACGGAACAAACAAAUAACUUCUCGUUUCGGGGUGCUAUAGUUUAAUGAGUUCCAAAUUACAGCUAUGUUCCUAAGCGCGUUGUUGAGUUGAGUUCACAGUUUCAGUCUGAUUCUCUCUUAAAGCAAGAAAGCUUGGGUGCCGACGCCGACAUCUAUCUUCUAUUCAAGGGGUUAGUUCUGUUCCGCGAGUUGACGAUUGAAAUUCCAUCAAGUAUUCCUCUUCCUUUACUUCACACUCAGAACUAGAAAGAACAGUAUCAUCAAUUGCUUUCCUGUUUGCUCAAGCAGUCUCGUAU